AGCUCCAAUAGCGUAUAUUAAAGUUGUUGCAGUUAAAAAGCUCGUAGUUGAAUUUUGGGCCUGGCUGAGCGGUCUGCCUUAUGGUGAGUACUGCUUUGGCUGGGUCUUUCCUUCUGGAGAGCCGGCAUUCCCUUCGCUGGGUGUGUCGGGGAUCCAGGACUUUUACUUUGAAAAAAUUAGAGUGCUCAAAGCAGGCUACUUGCUUGAAUAUAUUAGCAUGGAAUAAUGGAAUAGGACGUUGUGGUUCUAUUUUGUUGGUUUCUAGGACCACCGUAAUGAUUAAUAGGGAUAGUUGGGGGCAUUAGUAUUCAAUUGUCAGAGGUGAAAUUCUUGGAUUUAUUGAAGACUAACUUCUGCGAAAGCAUUUGCCAAGGAUGUUUUCA
rnacentral:rRNA from 1 species